rnacentral:lncRNA from 1 species
GUUGCUGUCGGGGCCACGGCCGAGCACACGACCCCGGCCUGAGGUGGUGGUGGGAAGCCCGCCGCUGUUUGCUGCGACCUCAUGGAGGGUGGCGGAGGAAGUAGCAACAAAUCCACCGGCGGGUUAGCGGGCUUCUUCGGAGCGGGAGGAGCGGGUUACUCGAACGCUGAUUUGGCCGGCGUCCCGCUGACUGGUAUGAACCCCCUGUCUCCUUACUUAAAUGUGGACCCACGCUAUCUCGUUCAGGAUACAGAUGAGUUUAUUUUGCCAACUGGAGCUAAUAAAACCCGAGGCAGGUUUGAACUAGCUUUCUUCACCAUUGGAGGAUGCUGCAUGACAGGGGCUGCAUUCGGGGCACUGAACGGGCUUCGUUUAGGAUUGAAGGAAACUCAGAGCAUGCCCUGGUCCAAACCAAGAAAUGUACAGUAAGUCUGGAUGCUUGCAUAUGAACCAUCACUUCGGGGUUUUUGUUAGUCACCAUCUGAUGUUAAUGAAAUAUUUAAAUAGUU